UACGUAGGUGGCAAGCGUUGUCCGGAAUUAUUGGGCGUAAAGCGCGCGCAGGCGGUCCUUUAAGUCUGAUGUGAAAGCCCACGGCUCAACCGUGGAGGGUCAUUGGAAACUGGGGGACUUGAGUGCAGGAGAGAAGAGUGGAAUUCCACGUGUAGCGGUGAAAUGCGUAGAGAUGUGGAGGAACACCAGUGGCGAAGGCGGCCUACUGGGCUGCACCUGACGCUGAGCCGCGAAAGCCAGGGGAGCGAACGGG
rnacentral:rRNA from 1 species